rnacentral:rRNA from 1 species
UACGUAGGGGGGCAAGCGUUGUCCGGAUUUAUUGGGCGUAAAGAGCUCGUAGGCGGCUUGUCGCGUCGAAUGUGAAAACUCGGGGCUCAACUCCGAGCUUGCAUUCGAUACGGGCAGGCUAGAGUUCGGUAGGGGGAGACUGGAAUUCCUGGUGUAGCGGUGAAAUGCGCAGAUAUCAGGAGGAACACCGGUGGCGAAGGCGGGUCUCUGGGCCGAUACUGACGCUGAGGAGCGAAAGCGUGGGGAGCGAACAGG